GACGAACGCUGGCGGCGUGCUUAACACGUGCAAGUCGAGCGGAAAGGCCCUGCUUUUGUGGGGUGCUCGAGUGGCGAACGGGUGAGUAACACGUGAGUAACCUUCCCUUGACUUUGGGAUAACUUCAGGCAACUGCGGCUAAUACCGGAUAGGAGCUCCUGCUGCAUGGUGGGGGUUGGACAGUUUCGGCGGUUGGGGAUGGACUCGCGGCUUAUCAGCUUGUUGGUGGGGUAGUGGCUUACCAAGGCUUUGGCGGGUAGCCGGCCUGAGAGGGUGACCGGCCACAUUGGGACUGAGAUACGGCCCAGACUCCUACGGGAGGCAGCAGUGGGGAAUAUUGCACAAUGGGCGGAAGCCUGAUGCAGCAACGCCGCGUUCGGGAUGACGGCCUUCUGGUUGUAAACCGCUUUCGCCUGUGACGAAGCGUGAGUGACGGUAAUGGGUAAAGAAGCACCGGCUAACUACGUG
rnacentral:rRNA from 1 species